AGUGAAAGGUAUUCAGGGAGAGGACAACGUCGCCCCACUGAACAAUUUACUGCCCUUCUCUGGGAAUUCCACAUGAUCCAGAGCACUGGAAUAUGCAUUUAUCUGGGAAAAGUAAUGAAAAGAUGGGAAUCUGCCCAUGCAAAGCCCAGAGAUAGCAUUGGAGUGUUUUUCUAUGGACCUCAGCUUAAGAACGGGGGAAACACACAGACAACUGUCAGGUUUGAAGAAAGAUGGAAAACUGUGGCCCGAUACAGGUAAUAAAACCUCAUUUUUGUUGAAAAAAAACUUUUUCUCAAACAAAAAAGAUUCCUAUUAAAAAAAAGACAUUUAAAAAACACCAGAAACCCCCAAAAAAAGCAAUGGAAAA
rnacentral:lncRNA from 1 species